rnacentral:lncRNA from 1 species
GGGCGUCUCAGGGUGGAGGCCCUGCUCUGCAGACUGCAACUGUCUUGCCAAAGUGUACUACAUUUGCAAUCAGCACAAAUGUCCCUCAAUAUAUAAAAUAAACAUACUUCAUUUUCUCAUGCAACGAACUGAAAAAAGAAAAACAUGCACUGCAAAAAUUGCCAGCGGUGGAGUCGGUGUUAGUGACUAAUCCCUACUAUGCUCGCCUCACAUUACAGAAGUCCACUGCAUGGCCAUGCAAUGAUGGUCGCACGCGGCUGCUGUGUGGACUGCUCCAGCGAUGCCCUUGCGCUGCUCAUCCCGGGGAGGAAAUGGGGGAGUGCAUGGUUUCACCAAUGAUGGGGACAGAGUGAGCUGCAAUCGAACAAAAAAAUCGCCAUGCGGAAUGAAGUGAGCUGCAGUUGUACAUGCACACACUAACAAACUUCACGUGCAUACAUACUUAUCUUCACAACAAUUCACGCGGAACCUCAUCUCCAACUUGAUGUAGACACUUGUUUUGCACUGAACUGCACUGCGUCGUGCACGACCAUGCUGCUCCAUCGCAGAGGAGGGGAGGUGGAACAGAG